rnacentral:rRNA from 1 species
GUGAGGAAUAUUGGUCAAUGGACGAGAGUCUGAACCAGCCAAGUCGCGUGAAGGAAGACGGUUCUAUGAAUUGUAAACUUCUUUUGUGCAGGAAUAAAGUGGGUUACGUGUAACCUUUUGUAUGUACUGUACGAAGAAGGAUCGGCUAACUCCGUGCCAGCAGCCGCGGUAAUACGGAGGAUCCGAGCGUUAUCCGGAUUUAUUGGGUUUAAAGGGUGCGUAGGUGGAUUGAUAAGUCAGCGGUGAAAGUUUGCAGCUUAACUGUAAAAUUGCCGUUGAAACUGUCGGUCUUGAGUGCAAAUGAGGUAGGCGGAAUGUGUUGUGUAGCGGUGAAAUGCUUAGAUAUAACACAGAACUCCGAUUGCGAAGGCAGCUUACUGGGAUGCAACUGACACUGAUGCACGAAAGCGUGGGUAUCAAACAGGAUUAGAAACCCUGGUAGUCC